rnacentral:rRNA from 1 species
UAGGGAAUAUUAGAAAUGGACGAAAGUCUGAUCUAGCAACACCGCGUGUGCGAAGAAGGCCUUUGGGUCGUAAAGCACUUUUUGGAAGGAAUAGGAAGGAAUGUACUUCCAGAAUAUGUCUCGGCUAACUACGUGCCAGCAGCCGCGGUAACACGUAGGAGGCAAACGUUAUCCGGAUUUACUGGGCGUAAAGCGCGUGUAGGUGGUACUGUAAGUAGGGCGUGAAAGCUCCUGGCUCAACUGGGAGAGGCCGUUCUAAACUACAGAACUAGAGGAUGGUAGAGGGAGGUGGAAUUCCAGGUGUAGCGGUGGAAUGCGCAGAUAUCUGGAGGAACACCGGUGGCGAAGGCGGCCUCCUGGACCAUUCCUGACACUCAGACGCGAAAGCUAGGGUAGCAA